GACGGGGGAUGCAAGCGUUAUCCGGAAUCAUUGGGUUUAAAGGGUCCGCAGGCGGUCCUAUAAGUCAGUGGUGAAAGCCUACAGCUUAACUGUAGAACUGCCAUUGAUACUGUAGGACUUGAAUUCGGUCGAAGUGGGCGGAAUAUGUCAUGUAGCGGUGAAAUGCUUAGAUAUGACAUAGAACACCGAUAGCGAAGGCAGCUCACUAGGCCUGGAUUGACGCUCAGGGACGAAAGCGUGGGUAGCGAACAGG
rnacentral:rRNA from 1 species